AAUACAUGUUGGAAAUCUCCUUGCUAAUUCCACCAUAUACACUACAUAACACAUCACGUUAAUUUACAUCACAUUUUAAUACUCUGUUGUACUUAAGUAUUCAAACCUUACAUGCCUCUGAAACAUGUUUCCUCUCUAACACUAACAAGAAUAGCUCUAUUGUAUGGCCCUAAUUUGGAUUUGUUGUGGGGUGCUCUAAUGGCUGUAAAAGAGACGGUAAUGGCAUAAUGUGUCCACUC